rnacentral:rRNA from 1 species
UACGGAAGGGGCAAGCGUUGUUCGGAAUCAUUGGGCGUAAAGAGCGCGCAGGCGGUCGUUCAAGUCGCGUGUGAAAGCAUGCGGCUCAACCGCAUAGGGUCGGUAGAAACUGCAAGACUCGAGGCUGGGAGGGGCUGGUGGAAUUCCCUGUGUAGCGGUGAAAUGCGUAGAUAUAGGGGAGAACACUCGUGGCGAAGGCGGCCAGCUAGACCAGUCCUGACGCUGAGGCGCGACAGCGUGGGGAGCAAACAGG